rnacentral:piRNA from 1 species
GCCUUGACAGGAGCUCUGGUCAG